rnacentral:rRNA from 1 species
AGUGAACGCUGGCGGUAGGCCUAACACAUGCCAGUCGAACGGCAGCACAGUAAGAGCUUGCUCUUACGGGUGGCGAGUGGCGGACGGGUGAGGAAUACAUCGGAAUCUACUUUUUCGUGGGGGAUAACGUAGGGAAACUUACGCUAAUACCGCAUACGACCUACGGGUGAAAGCAGGGGUUCUUCGGCCCUUUCCCGUUUGAUUUAGCCGAUGUCGGAUUAGCUAGUUGGCGGGGUAAAGGCCCACCAAGGCGACGAUCCGUAGCUGGUCUGAGAGGAUGAUCAGCCACACUGGAACUGAGACACGGUCCAGACGCCUACGGGAGGAAGCAGUGGGGAAUAUUGGACAAUGGGCGCAAGCCUGAUCCAGCAAUACCGCGUGGGUGAAGAAGGACUUCGGGUUGUAAAGCCCUUUUGUUGGGAAAGAAAAGCAGCAGGUUAAUACCCCGCUGUUAUGACGGUACCCAAAGAAUAAGCACCGGCUAACUUCGUG